rnacentral:rRNA from 1 species
UACGGAGGGGGCUAGCGUUGUUCGGAAUUACUGGGCGUAAAGCGCACGUAGGCGGUUCGUUAAGUCGGAUGUGAAAGCCCUCGGCUCAACUGAGGAAGUGCACCCGAAACUGGCGAGCUUGAGUACGAAAGAGGAUCGCGGAAUUCCCGGUGUAGAGGUGAAAUUCGUAGAUAUCGGGAGGAACACCGGCGGCGAAGGCGGCGAUCUGGGUCGAUACUGACGCUGAGGUGCGAAAGCGUGGGGAGCAAACAGGG